AUUGAACGCUGGCGGCAGGCCUAACACAUGCAAGUAGAGCGGAGCGGCGGACGGGUGAGUAAUGCCUAGGAAUCUUCCUGGUAGUGGGGGAUAACGUCCGGAAACGGGCGCUAAUACCGCAUACUAUCAGAUCAGCCUAGGUCGGAUUAGGUAGUUGGUGGGGUAAAGGCCUACAAAGGCGACGAUCCCUAGCUGGUCUGAGAGGAUGUUCAGCCACACUGUGACUGAGACACGGCCCAGACUCCUACGGGAGGCAGCAGUGGGGAAUAUUGCACAAUGGGCGCAAGCCUGAUGCAGCCAUGCCGCGUGUAUGAAGAAGGCCUUCGGGUUGUAAAGUACUUUCAGUCGGGAGGCGUUACCGACAGAAGAAGCACCGGCUAACUCUGUGCCAGCCGCCGCGGUAAUAC
rnacentral:rRNA from 1 species